rnacentral:rRNA from 1 species
GAUGAACGCUAGCGGCAGGCCUAAUACAUGCAAGCCGAACGGUAACCCCGCAGCAAUGCGGGGCUAGAGUGGCGUAAGGGUGCGUAACACGUAUGCAAUCUACCCGCAACAGGAGGAUAGCUCCCCGAAAGGGGAAUUAACCCUCCAUGAGAUCACACGAGGGCAUCCGAGAGUGAUUAAAUUUGAGGAGGUUGUGGAUGAGCAUGCGACUGAUUAGCUAGUUGGCAGUGUAACGGACUACCAAGGCAAUGAUCAGUAGGGGAACUGAGA